UGGGGGAUAUUGCGCAAUGGGCGAAAGCCUGACGCAGCGACGCCGCGUGGGUGAUGAAGGCCUUCGGGUCGUAAAGCCCUGUCGAGGGGAACGAAACGGAUACGACCUAAUACGUCGCAUCCCUGACGGUACCCCUAAAGGAAGCACCGGCUAACUCCGUGCCAGCAGCCGCGGUAAUACGGAGGGUGCGAGCGUUGUUCGGAAUCACUGGGCGUAAAGGGCGUGUAGGCGGUCCGUUAAGUCUGAUGUGAAAGCCCGGGGCUCACCCCCGGAAGGGCAUUGGAAACUGGCGGACUCGAGUCCCGGAGAGGAGAGUGGAAUUCCUGGUGUAGCGGUGAAAUGCGUAGAUAUCAGGAGGAACACCGGUGGCGAAGGCGGCUCUCUGGACGGUGACUGACGCUAAGACGCGAAAGCGUGGGGAGCAAACAG
rnacentral:rRNA from 1 species